UUUUAUACUUACUGGAAUCUUUACCUUUUUAUCGUUGAGUUGUAUGAGUUCUUUGUAUAUUCUGAAUACAAGUUCUUCACCAGACAUUUUUGUGAAUAUUUUCUCCCCUUCUGUAGGCUAUUUGUAUUUGUAACCAUGUCUUUUUAUAAGUAUUAGUGGCCUGGCUAAUUUUUUUGUAUUUGUAGCAGAGAUGGGGUGUCACCAUGUUGGCCAGGCUGGUCUUGAACUCCUGAUCUCAGGUGAUCUGCCUGCCUUGGCCUCCCAAAGUGCUGGGAUUACAGGCAUGAGCCACUACGCUCAGCCCCUCUUGACUCUGUAAGUUGAUAUUUUUCACUGUAUUUGAGCAGAGUCAAGUCAUUAUAUCUUUAAAUAU
rnacentral:lncRNA from 1 species